CAUAACAUUUACUUGCCGAGACUAUUAAUUGGCAACAGUUCUAUUGUAAUUUUUUAACAGUUACAUACCAAUGUUUACUGACAUACGUUUUGAAAGUAGCCCUUGUGUGUAACUGCUUAGUCUAGCUUAUUUGACGUGGCACUGCCAUUCAAUUUUUCUCAUUUUGCAUAUAAGUAUUAAGAGAUUGUGAGGUUGGUUGCAGGAGAUGUAUGAGGAAGCCAGUCAAGUGGCAAAUGAUGCAGCUGGUGGUAUUCGGACAAUUGCAUCUUUUUGUGGAGAAUAGAAGGUAAUGUAUCUUUACCAAGAGAAAUGCGAGGUCCCAAUGAAGCAUGGAGUCCGACAAGGAAUUGUAAGUAGCGUAGGCUUCAGCUUCUCCUUCUUCAUGGUCUUCUGCACCAACACCCUCAUUUUCUAUGCCGGUGCUCAUCUUAUACAAGAUGGGAAGACAACAUUUUCCAAAGUUUUCAGGCAUUUGGAGUCUCAUAGACCAGCGCAAUAGCUCCAGAUGCAACCAUUCACUUUUAAAUGUAGGACUGCCAUGUAAAAAUAAAUAAAUAAAUCAGUAUUUUACUAGUUUAAUGGGGCCUUUUAUUUUUUAUAUGGGAAGCAUGUUUCCUGCACAAGUUUGUAAGUUAAAAAAUUAACUUUAUAUGGACUGAUGUGUUUAUAUUGGUGAGUCCAAUCUGUAUUACUUUCUAAUGGCAUGAAUAAAGACUUCGUUUUUUUGGCCA